rnacentral:misc_RNA from 1 species
AUCUUUUCGUUGUGCCCAAAAAUUCUCCCAAGGCACCAGACGAUUGUUCCAGAAAAUAGACACAGCCAGGAGGUGAAAGCUUCAAGGUUGCGCAUAGAGGAGAAGAGAUCAAAGUGCGAAAAUGUCGUCGUUUUUGCAAUCAUUUAUUGAUCCAAGGAAGAACUGGUUCGCUAAACAGCACAUGAAAGCUCUUUCCAAACGCCUUCGCAAAUAUGGCCUUAGAUACGACGAUCUUUACGAUCCCUACUACGAACUGGACAUCAAGGAGGCGCUUAAUCGGCUCCCUAGAGAGAUUGUGGAUACUCGUGCUUCAUGGAGAGGUCCAUGGC